UAGUGGCGAACGGGUGAGUAACACGUGAGUAACCUGCCCUUAACUCUGGGAUAAGCCUGGGAAACUGGGUCUAAUACCGGAUAUGACUCCUCAUCGCAUGGUGGGGGGUGGAAAGCUUUUUGUGGUUUUGGAUGGACUCGCGGCCUAUCAGCUUGUUGGUGAGGUAAUGGCUCACCAAGGCGACGACGGGUAGCCGGCCUGANAGGGUGACCGGCCACACUGGGACUGAAACACGGCCCAGACUCCUACGGGAGGCAGCAGUGGGGAAUAUUGCACAAUGGGCGCAAGCCUGAUGCAGCGACCCCCCGUGAGGGAUGACGGCCUUCGGGUUGUAAACCUCUUUCAGUAGGGAAGAAGCGAAAGUGACGGUACCUGCAGAAGAAGCGCCGGCUAACUACGUGCCAGCAGCCGCGGUAAUACGUAGGGCGCAAGCGUUAUCCGGAAUUAUUGGGCGUAAAGAGCUCGUAGGCGGUUUGUCGCGUCUGCCGUGAAAGUCCGGGGCUCAACUCCGGAUCUGCGGUGGGUACGGGCAGACUAGAGUGAUGUAGGGGAGACUGGAAUUCCUGGUGUAGCGGUGAAAUGCGCAGAUAUCAGGAGGAACACCGAUGGCGAANGCAGGUCUCUGGGCAUUAACUGACGCUGAGGAGCGAAAGCAUGGGGAGCGAACAGGAUUAGAUACCCUGGUAGUCCAUGCCGUAAACGUUGGGCACUAGGUGUGGGGGACAUUCCACGUUUUCCGCGCCGUAGC
rnacentral:rRNA from 1 species